AGGACUCCUAGAAAACAUUGUAUUAUGAGGAUUCAUCACAAAAUUGACUAGUUUUACAUUGACUGUUAGCCUGCCGUAAAUAUCCUCCUUUUACUACUGACAUACUACACUCCUUUUAACUGAAAUAACUGUCUUCGAUCUUGUCUGACAGAUUAGGAUGUGGUAUGCACAACUACGCCAGUAGAGCAGAAUGUUAUAAAUGCAAAACACCUAGGGAUUUUGGAGGUGAUCUGAGAGAAAGUAAUUUAUAUUGAGCGCGGCGACAUGAAGUUAUAACUGAAAUGUACCAGAACACAUAACCCUCAAUAACCUUUCUUUUCCUUCUAGUUUUUCUUUUCUUCCUUUCUUUAACAGUGUUUAGUAGCAUUUCCUUGUAGUUUCUCAAAGAAGGGUUUCUAAAUCUAACUGCAUUGUAACUUCGCAAAUUGUUCUAUGAAUGAAAUCCCUUCAGAUUUUGCAUUC